rnacentral:rRNA from 1 species
CCUACGGGAGGCAGCAGUGGGGAAUCUUGCGCAAUGGGCGAAAGCCUGACGCAGCAACGCCGCGUGCGGGAUGAAGGCCUUCGGGUUGUAAACCGCUUUCAGCAGGGAAGAAAUUGACGGUACCUGCAGAAGAAGCCCCGGCCAACUACGUGCCAGCAGCCGCGGUAACACGUAGGGGGCGAGCGUUGUCCGGAUUUAUUGGGCGUAAAGAGCUCGUAGGCGGUUCGGUAAGUCGGGUGUGAAACCCUCCAGGCUCAACCUGGAGACGCCACCUGAAACUGCUGUGACUAGAGUCCGGUAGGGGAGUGUGGAACUCCUGGUGUAGCGGUGAAAUGCGCAGAUAUCAGGAAGAACACCAGCGGCGAAGGCGGCACUCUGGGCCGGUACUGACGCUGAGGAGCGAAAGCGUGGGUAGCAAACAGGAUUAGAUACCCUGGUAGUCCACGCCGUAAACGUUGGGCACUAGGUGUGGGUCUCAACCAACGAGAUCGUCGCGCNGACACGACAUAGUCGCCCGCCGUCGGGAGGUACGGCCGCGACGACGUAAACCGUAACGAAACGAGAAGUUAGUAACGGUCGUGUUAGACGUGACCGAACGGACGACGACGAGGGAGGAGG